CAAGAAGGAGAGAGGCGUUUGCCGCUGGUCGCGAAAUGAGAGGGAGAGUCCGGCCGCCGUCCGCCGUACCGAGUUGAGAAGAGAGGGAGAAGAAGACAUUCCAAUCACUUUCAGCGUUGCUCGUGUGGUUAUGCUCGACGCGUGCCACAUGUCGCUUGUAACUUUGCUUGAUGAUGGCUUUCACGACGACGCUUUCCGACUCGCUGUGCUUGAUGAUGGCUUACGCAAAGUAUUUCGGACUUCUCUGCUUACGCUUGCUAGCUCAUUGCGGAUUUGCUAUCCGUUUGGUAUUGUCUCCUGGUCCCUUUUACCGCUUUCUCGCAUCAUCCUUUAACAUGAGAAGAAGGACCUAGACAUGCAUCUGGCCAAGCCCUCGAAAGAGGCUCUGUUUUUGUUGGUGUGUUUACAUUUGUGCUUUGCGGCAGGGAGUCACGGUGUAAUAAGUCCUAUAUGGCACUCCGUUAAGUCCUCAUGGAAGGCAUGCGGAAAGGGUUAGCAAUCAACCCCCGCCUAGUCUCAUCGAGUCCGUUCAGUAUGCGCACGCUACGCGUCGCUCGCUUCUGAACCUGCACAAGAUCUUGUUAUCGAGUAUGUCAGGAAAAGGGUUCAUGUAGCCGGACCCACGCCUUUCCUAUAGCUCGCGUCGCUCGACGUUGAUGCUCGGUGUACGCACGCACCGUUUUCCUUUAGGAUCCGUGACGGCUUGGUUGCUGAGAGGGAUCCGCUCCUCUUGUCUAUGGUCUGAUCAUUUUCGCGAGGUCUAAUGCUUGGUUGACUUGGGUUGAGCUGCUCCCCUUGGCUAUGGCGGGACCGCCUUUCUACCAUUCGGCCAGUGUCGUUGGUUUGUUUGCUUUACGAGCGGAUGCUCGUUUGUGUGCUAUUUGUUUGCUUUCGCUUCUCCCUGUAGGUUGAUUAGUUUAGUUUAGACUUGUACCCUUUGUAUGAUAACAUUAGGUAGCAAGCUUUCCCCCCUUAGCUUAGGUUUACCUCAUGCAUCUUUUAAAACACAAACCACACUCUUUGAUUUUCUUUUCUUAAGAGCUUGUUAUUUCCGCUCCAUUCCCAGCAUAAGUCUCCAAAGGUCGAGCAGCGGAGUGUGAAUGUAACUCGUUCACCUAAAAAACACAAAACAAACAGAAAUUAGUUAGCCGAGCUAUGGUAGCUCUGAUUCUGCAAAACAGAUACGUAGGCAGCGGGGUAGGGCCCGUGCGAGCACAAUACUUUCUUUUCCCUACAUUCUGCAUUCAUUUUAGUCCAGAUUAGCGUAGUUUGCUUACACACCCAUAGUUUUAGACACAGACGUGGAUAUCAUCGAGUACGAUGGGCGCGAGGGGUGCUAACACCUUCCCCUCGCGUAACCGACUCCCUUACCCUUUUUCUCUGGUUGUGAGACCAUUGUUUUGUUUUGUGGUUUGCUGGCAUUCCCUUCCUUUUCAGGAUAAAUAUGUUAGUGGCGACUCUGUUAAUUUUCGCGGUAGCGACACCAGGUAAAAUAUUUUACUCCAAAAUAUAUAUAAAAAAAACAUUUUAACAGUUUUCCAACACAAUUACAAUUCCACAACAAAACUUCUCACCAGAACUUUAUAUUAGAACAUAGAACCUGCUUUUAAAGAAAUAGAGUCAAAAUAUUGUGGUAAAAAUUAUAAACAGAAUAUUUUUUUAACUUACUAGAUCCAACCACAGAUCCAAAGAAACAGAGUCAAAAUAUUGUGGUAAAAAUUAUAAACAGAAUAUUUUUUUUAACUUACUAGAUCCAACCACAGAUCCAAAGAAAUAGAGUCAAAAUAUUGUGGUAAAAAUUAUAAACAGAAUAUUUUUUUAACUUACUAGAUCCAACCACAGAUCCAAAGAAAUAAAGUCAAAAUAUUGUGGUAAAAAUUAUAAACAGAAUAUUUUUUUAACUUACUAGAUCCAACCACAGAUCCAAAGAAAUAGAGUCAAAAUAUUGUGGUAAAAAUUAUAAACAGAAUAUUUUUUUAACUUACUAGAUCCAACCACAGAUCCAAUUUUUCAGCUACAACUACAUAACCAACUAUCAUACAUUUCAAGAAACAAAAAUUCACAAAAAUAAUAUAUAAUGUUAGAAACAGUAGUACUGAGAAAUACAACUAAAAUAAAAAAUAAUAAUUAAUUUGUUAGUAAAAAAUAGAUCAAUAAAAAAAUACCAAACCAAAAAUCUUAACUCUUACCUCAGAAGAAUAAAUGGUACCGAAACAUGCAUAUAAAAUCAACUGUCCUGAAUCUACACCAAGGAGAAUAUAAAACUUAAAAAAAAAAUAGGAGAUAACAAAAUAAAAAAGAAAAACAUAAAAUGAAAACUAAAUAUAAAUGAAUAAAUUGAUAAGUAAAGUUUUAAAAGGAACUAAGGAGUAAAUAACAGUUUUAUCUGAUAUACUUACUGUCUAGUGUGUAGAACAUCCACACAACUAUUCCUUCAAAUUAAUUUUUCCCUGCAAAAAAGAUAAAGUACUAAAGGAAUAUCAAAAGAAUAUCAAAAGAUAAAAACCCUAAUCACAAAAUUUGUUAUAAACCCUAAAUCAUUUAAAAAAAACUCUAACUUUAAUAACAAACCUAAGAUGAUGAAAAAUGAUAAAACAAAAAUUAUUAAUAAGAGUAUGGAGACAAAGAGAAGGUGAAUACAGAUUGUUGUUUUUCGGUUUAAGAAAAUAAUGCCACAGAGGAAAAUAUCGGCUGAGUCGCGGAUCAGUAUGCUUUCUUUAAGACGUUUCGCGGUACUGCCAGAUUUAUGCAAAGCAGCUCGUAAAUACCCACGACGCCUUAGGAUAAAACAGCUCGUUUCAAUACGAUUCACACUUGCACGUGUGAUGAAUCAUUCUAAAUGAUACACCUUCUGAUGGUUAAAAACCAGUCUUAGUAUAUAGAAUAAAUCCAAUCGAAAAAGAAAAAAUAAUUUUUAGAUGAAGCAGAGUAAGAGAGAGAGGAGAGAAUUCAAAAUUGAAUUCUGGAGUGCAGAACAAAUGAAUGGAACGAAUGUAUUUAUAGGCAAAAAAUAUCCAACGGAGUGGACCAAAACGUGGGCGAAAAUAUAGCGGAGAGUUGAACCGGCCCAGUCAAUAUAGCCGUUAUUUACUUGGUCAGCAGACUUGGAGGACAAGUAAACCUAGUCAAAAUCUAGGUUAAGACUUGGUCUAGGACACGUCACCAAUUCGUAUUAAUUAAUAUUAAAUAUUAAUUAAUUCCAUAUUUAAUAUUAUUUAAGUUUUACCGAAUUAAUUAAUUAUUCAAUGAUAAUUGAUUUCCAUUAAUUCGGGUUCCAAAAAAUUAAUUCAUGUAGACCGGACCGGACCGCCGGCGGAGGCGGCGCGCGCGCGUCUUCUUGGCACAUUGGUGUGUCAUCACUCAUUUAUAAAAUUGUAGGUGCCCUUGGGCCCAACAACAAUUGUCCAAGUUGGAAUAUAUAUACACUACUAAUAUUUGUGUUCCCUCCAAUGUGGGACUUAUAAAUGAAUCUUUUCAAAUUCAUGUCUAUAUUAGCUCUUACUGAUGUUCAUUUAUUGUUCAUUUAAUGUCAAUAAAUAUUUCCAA